AACCGGCUCCCGCCUCUCCCAGCUAUCGCCUCCCCCCGUCUCCUGCUCCUUCCUCUUCCUCGGCAGCUUCGCCUCCUCCCCAAUUCCACCGCCCCGCGCGUGCGGCGAGACCUCGGCGCCCUCUGCCCCUAAUUCCCGGGCCCCGUAGGCACGGCGUGUACGGCCUCUUGCCCUAGCCUUCUCCCCCCUUUUCGGCAUCCUCGCUCGCGCCGCCGGCGAGCAGGUUUUGAGGGGCGCGGCGGUCGUCCUCCGUCUCGGGUUGAGUCGAAUUGAAGGUACAGGGAAUGACUGGCUGUAGAAGAGUCCAAGCCUCCGGCUAUCAGCUUUACUGCCCUGCUUGGAGUUGCCUGGAUAGCUGGAUUGCAAGCUUGUGUCCACGUUAAAGUCUUGUUCUUUUCGAGUAUCCAAACAUGGGCUGGAAAAGGAAGACACAUCAUGGAGGAUCAUGUCAUCAACAACAAUCCUGUCCUUCACAUGGUAAUGAAUUGUCUGCGAUAGAUGAGGAGGUUUCCCAUCUUACGAGGCUUAAAUCCGAGCCAUGUGAGAGGACUCGUGCAUCCCUUCAUGCUGGAAAAAAGAGGCAUAUCUCAACAUUCAAGUUGUUGUCAGGGAGAGAAUCCAACUGCUUAGGGAUUGGUAGGUUCUCUUCAGCUGAUUGCUCUUAUGCUCUUCGUAAACACCUACCAGUAAAAGGCCCAUGGUGUGUUGAUGACAUGGACAGUGAAGCCUACAUAUCUCAAUUCUCCGCAGAUGGUUCCCUUCUCAUUGGUGGGUUCCGGGGUAGCCAUAUCAGAAUCUACAAUGCUGAGAAAAAGUGGACGAUACAUAAGGACAUAACCUGCAAAAAGCUACGUUGGACAGUUUCAGAUAUUGCUCUUUCACCUGAUCAACGAUACCUAGCUUAUUCCAGUCUGUCACCUAUCGUUCAUAUGGUAGAUAUCCAGAAUGGCAUGAGAGAAUCACAUGCCAAUAUUACGCAAGUUCACGAAGGCUUGGAGUUUUCGAAUGAUGAUGAUGGGUUCUCCUUUGCCAUAUUUUCUGUUAAGUUUUCAAAAGAUGGCCGAGAACUUGUUGUUGGAAACAACAAUGAAUCAAUAUGUAUUUACGAUAUUGGAUCAAACAAAGUAACAGAACGCAUUCACGCUCAUUCGGCUGAUGUCAAUGCAGUCACCUUUGCUGAUGAAGGUAGUGAUGUUUUAUACUCUGGAAGUGAUGAUAGCCUCUGUAAGGUCUGGGAUAGGCGCUGCAACAAGAGAGGAAAACAAGUUGGUGUUUUGACAGGUCAUUUAGAUGGGAUUACAUUUAUUGAUAGCCGUGGAGAUGGGCAUUAUUUUAUUUCAAAUUGCAAGGAUCAAACUAUUAAACUAUGGGACAUCAGGAAAAUGUCGUCCACUGUGAAAGACUGCACACCAAAAGCAUAUGAAUGGGAUUACAGAUGGAUGACAUAUCCCUCAGAAGCCCGAUAUUUCAAGCAUCCAUAUGACCAGUCCCUGUCAACAUUUAGAGGGCAUUCAGUGUUACGUACACUAAUUCGUUGCUAUUUUUCCCCAAUACACAGAAGAACUUCUUUGAUGAAAAGAGAUCUCCAUGCCUGGAAAGAGGGUUGAAUGUUCUGAAAUAUGAAGCCAUUUCUUUGUUUCCAGAUGUGCCAAGCUGCCAAAAAGAAAAUUUCCAGGAAACCCUUCUGAGAAAAUUUGAUUCUUGCUAGGGAGAUCAUUUGGAAAAACUCCAAAUUGUUAUUCCACUCAAUUCCCAGGUAUUGCCAACAGCUGAUGCUGAAAGGACAUAAAAAGAAGAGGUGUAGCCUUGUCUCUCUGCAGUUCGCAUUGCACAAAACACACGUGAGAUCAUCAUCUUCUUUGGCACAAUGUCUUCUAUCCAGCAUAUCUCUUUUAUUAAGUCUAUCACAAAACAUUAGCCAGGCAAAGACUUUGAUCUUCAUGACACAUUUUGUUUUCCAUAGCCAAAUCAUGGGUCUGGGGGGUUGCAAUGCAGAAUAAUUUAGCUUAUAGAAUUUCUUAGCUGUGUACUUAUCUGAGCCCCAGAUAAAAUUCCAAGCAUCCCCCAUCCCUGAUUGUAAAUUCAAACUGUCCAGAACCCCCUGAAGUUGCAAGAAUUCCGAGUAAGCCUCAUCCGAGAGGGGUAGAGCAAAAGAAUCUUCUAGGGGUCUUGAACACAUGGCCUUGACUGAAUCAGACUUAUACAUAGUCACAAAAAAGAGAUUGGGGUAGCUGGUGCAUUUAAAAUCAUCAUUCCAUAGAUCAUUCCAGAAAAGGGCAGUUCUUCCUGUCCUGAUUUCACAUUUUGCUAUCCCCUGAAUAUGUCUACAAGAGUUGUGAUGUCCCUCCACCAAAAAGAACCCUUAUUCAUCGUCAGGUGUGGAACUUUAGAGACAUAGUAUGAUUGUGAGAUUAAUUUCACCCAUGGUAAAUCAGCACCAUUAUAGAACUUGAUCAUAUGCUUUAGAAGAAGGGCUGUGUUUUGAACUCUCAGAUUGAUCACUCCUAAGCCUCCUUUCUCCUUAGGCAUGCACACCCUAUCCCAGGAAGCUAGAGAUUUCCUUGUCGAAGAAGGGUUAUUACCUCUCCACAGGCAAUUCUUACGAGCUGUGUCAAUGGCCUUGAUGACUGUAACUGGUAGCUGCAAUGAGGACAUGUAAUAGGUUGCAAUGAGGAUCUACCAAGUUGACCUUUCAACCUUUGACCUGACUGCACGGGUCAGAGGUAUAUAUAUACAGGAUCCAGUGACCAAUGUGUAUAUAUUUAUGAUGUGGCUACUGGAAAAAUUGUUGAAAAACUCAGAUGGCAUGGAUCAAUAAUCAGAGAUUGUUCCUGGCACCCAUACUUUCCAACGCUUGUUAGCUCUUCUUGGGAUGGCUAUCUAGUCCGGUGGGAAGCAACAGAGGACGACAAGGACCCCUCCAUGCUCAAGACCGGAAAGCAAAGAAUGCAUCCAGAGGGAUACACAUUUUCGUUUGUGUUUUAGAAAUUCAGCAGACGGCAGGGUCCUCAAUGCUUGGAAGAUGUAUUCACGUCGAUGCUACUGUGUCGGAUUAGUCAUUUUCUCUGCUUUCUGGUUCAAGUAGCAACGUAUUCAGCCGUAUAGAAAUUCACCGAAUCAAAGUACAACAUUACAAGUUACAAAGGUAGAGUAGUUCAAUCAGUCAUUUACAAAUGUAUGUCUUUGCUUCUCUUUUUCUCCCAUUUGGGAUUUCGACGGCCUUGACUAGAUAGAUAUUGGUGACGGGCACCUUGCUCGCUAGUCAGGCUUGGAGAAUGCUCCAAAAUUUGGGUACAAAUAUGUACAGUUCAAAAGAUGAAUAAAGUGAGGAAUCUUCAAUGCA